rnacentral:rRNA from 1 species
AUUGAACGCUGGCGGCAUGCCUUACACAUGCAAGUCGAACGGUAACAGGUCUUCGGAUGCUGACGAGUGGCGAACGGGUGCGUAAUACAUCGGAACGUGCCCGAUCGUGGGGGGUAACGAGGCGAAAGCUUUGCUAAUACCGCAUACGAUCUACGGAUGAAAGCGGGGGAUCUUCGGACCUCGAGAGGGAGGAGCGGCCGCUGGCAGAUUAGGUAGUUGGUGGGAUAAAAGCUUACCAAGCCGACGAUCUGUAGCUGGUCUGAGAGGAUGAUCAGCCACACUGGGACUGAGACACGGCCCAGACUCCUACGGGAGGCAGCAGUGGGGAAUUUUGGACAAUGGGCGAAAGCCUGAUCCAGCCAUGCCGCGUGCAGGAUGAAGGCCUUUGGGUUGUAAACUGCUUUUGUACGGAACGAAAAGCCUCUUUCUAAUAAAGAGGGGUCAUGACGGUACCGUAAGAAUAAGCACCGGCUAACUACGUG